AAAUAUUUUGACAAAGAAUAUUCAUUUUGGUACCACUGAUCCAAAAUAAGAUAUGCAUUUAUAGGAAGUGUAUUUUUUGAGGGCUGGUGUACACACAUGAUCAAUACAUUUUUAAAACAAAACAGAAUAAAUGCUUCAAAUACAAAUUUGUUGGUUGCUUCUGUUUAUCAAUAUCUGAAUGUCGUGUCCCUCUGUUUCAUUUUGACACAUGUUUAAAGUCACGAGUUGCCAACACUACUGGCUCAGCACUCAACUUUACAGGUCUCUUGUGACGAAAUGUUGGCACUCCUGUUUCAUAUUGAGGAAGUUCAGUGCUGAAAGCUCGGCCUGCAUAUUUUUGUUUUGCCAAAUUCAUUGAAGACCUUUCCAUAAAUAACACGUGUAAAUGUUAUUUCCUCUUGGUUGCAGUUCCUUAUACAACAGAUAAAAACGAUAUACAAUGUGACUGUCGCGGCCAUAAUUGAACUUCGUGAGACAGUGAGAUGGUGGCUUCCUGAAGUGGAUGUGGGGUCGUGUUCGCAGCCUCACCCAACAACACUGAGAUGCUUUAAACAGCUGAAAAUUCUAGGGGAAGGAGGUUUUGGAAAAGUUUUCAUGAUGAGGAAGAACUGCGGCGUGGAUAAAGAUAAGGUAUAUGCGAUGAAAGUCAUGGAUAUACCCAUUGACGGCAACUCAGCAUAUUACCAAACAGAGUUAAAAGUCCAUAAACUCUGCCACAGAUUUCCAUUCUUGGUAGAAGUCUAUUACGCCAUGAAGACAACGUCCAAGAUCUUUCUCGCACUUGACUAUUAUCCU